UUUCAGUGGGUCAUGUAAAACAAUGUCCCCUAAUCUGCCAUCUAGUUCAAUCAGGUCGGUGGGGUUCACAUGAAAACUGAAGCGAUAGACGGCAUCCCUCUGAGGGGAUUCUACAGGGCACGUCCAGAAAAGACAGGAAUGAUCUACAAGCAAGGCAAUUAUUACAAAGGAGGCAG